rnacentral:rRNA from 1 species
CCCUUAGAUGUUCUGGGCCGCACACGCGCUACACUGAAGGAGGCAGCGUGUACUCCUGGAUCGAAAGAUUUGGGUAACCCGCGAAUCUCCUUCGUGCUAGGGAUUGAGGUUUGCAAUUAUCCUUCAUGAACGAGGAAUUCCCAGUAAGUGCAAGUCAUAAGCUUGCGCUGACUACGUCCCUGCCCGUUGUACACACCGCCCGUCGCUACUACCGAUUGAAUGAUUUAGUGAGGACUUCGGACUGGGACCGAUGCGGCUUUCGGGCUGCGUCGGUAUUCUGGAAAGAUGUCCAAACUGUAUCAUUUAGAGGAAGUAAAAGUCGUAUCA